UAAAUUGACCUACAGCAGAUUAGAGGAGCAAAGAGUUAAUGAGUUUACCUUCUCAUAGUCAUUAGCUGCCUACAGAGGAUAGAAUCAGCACCUGGGCUGGGAGUGUUACAUUAUAAUCAUAGAUAGUAACUACACAGAGGGGUUUAUCAUCCAAAAAUCUGUAUGUGAAAAAUAACCAUCCAGAACGUUACAAGCUGUUCAGAGAUGAAUACAGGGGAUGAUUGUGCCAUCUCAUUACCGCCACUCCGAGAGCCUGGAAACAUAAUUAGACCGACUUUAAAGGCAUCGUCACCUAAUGGGAACCUGACUAUUCUGCAUUACAGCAGGAUACCUAUGCCACAAUCUACCUAGAGGAAUGAAGCAUGCAACACCAUCACAUUGUACAAGUCUAGGAAAAAACGCACAACAGAUCAUCGCGCAAGAGGAAUGGAUUCUGGGAAGGAAACACAAACACGUCAAUCGUCUGCCAAGUCUCCGCUAAGUUUACUCAAUCUGCUUGGAGUGAACAGGAAGCGGCGAGGUGAAGCCUUUUGGGUUAAAUAUGUUUAUCUCACCCACGUCUUCCAUAAUUUUAUCUCUGUUGGGAUCGGGCUCUACCUGCCAGGAUAAUCCGUGUCUCUAUCUUAAAACCAAACCCCACAAAGCCCCGGCUUUCUUUCUGCUGGUAGGUGAAGGAGUCCUCAGGAUCUGACUGCUCCAGAGUCACAAAGUUCUUUUAUGAUAAGGACCAAUCAUUCUAAGGGUCUAUUUACAUGGCAGAAUUUCAGCUUGCGGAAUUCCGUCUCAGAUUAAAGGGGUACUCCGGUGAAAAACUUUUUUUUUUUAA